rnacentral:lncRNA from 1 species
CCCCCCACCCGCGGCGCGAGCGAGCGCAUGCAACAAAACAAAACAAACUCGUGCCGGCUUCCUGUUGUGCAACCUCUUUCUGAGCCGGGUGUUGGAAGGAGGGUGGACUUUGGAAUCAGAAAACCUGGAAAUCUCAACUCCACUACUUACUCCAAAGACGAGAGGUUGUACCCUGGCCCAUUGAGGACUUCAGUCCUGCUACCUGAGGCUUUGUAAAGAGCAGGGCUCCAGGGAGCUUGUGAUUUGAUCAGUAAACAUGGAGGCUUGAUAUCAGAACUGCUUAGAAGUUUUUCAGGUCUCCAGCAGAAGGUGUGGCCCAGAUUAAAGGUGUGUGCCACCACGCCUGGAUCUGGGACUUGCUUUGUCCCAGAUGACCUUGAGCUCAGAGAUCUCCUUGCCUUAGUCUCCUGAGAUUCAUAGCCACUAUGCCUCAAGAUGUCCAGGCCAAGAUUCAGGUCAGAAACUUCUCUCUCAGUCUCAAGAUCUGGAUCACAGGUAUGAAGAGACUUCUGUUGGAAGCUACCAAGUGUCACUGUAAGAAGAGACACCAUCUUAUCCUGGUUGUUUAUAUUAGUUCUCUACAGGUUCUGUGACAAAGUCUGAUAGACUGCUGACUUCAGACAACAGGAUACAUCUUCUUGCAGCUCAAGAGGCUGAUUUACUCCAAGGAUUUCUCAUGCCCUUUGGAGUCCUAUCCUGUCCCUAAUUAGUCUAGUAGAAACUCUGAAAUCCCACCUUUGUCUCAAUAUCUUAAAACAGAACUCCCACAAAGGAAGACAUAUCCCAAAUCAAUAUCAUAGAACAGACAUGCCUUGCUAGAAGUCCUCUGUCACCCUUGAGACCUUUCACCCUCAAACCUGGUGUUCUGAGGCAAAGAUCGUGCUCUGACUCUCAGCAUCUGUUAUUGACUUCAACUUCGCUGCGGAAGACUCCCUCCAAUGGUUUAGUUGAGUACAAGACUACCCAGCUAAAGACAGGAUAUAAUAAUGUGUAAUAUAACAUACACUCAUAUGUAAUAAAAAUUAUUCCUGUUUGCCUGAUAGCUGGAUAUGAUCUUUUUAGGAAAUGUAUUGAAGCAUAUGCUAGACACUAGACGCUGUACUCUGAACCUUAUUCACAGCAGUAUCUGUGGAACGGACAUCUCUUUAUUAUUGUUGGGGUUAUCAGGAGGCUCCUGGGGUCAUGUCAGUAAUUUUGUUUUCUUCCUAAUGUUUACAGUUUCAUGUGUCCUCAGUUGUGUGACUUUUCCUGGGGCAACAGAAACAAACAUCCAUCAACUUACUCUAAAAUAUGGCACCAACAAUAGAUC